UUCAUACAAGAACGCCCAAUAGUAUUCAUUUGCAACCAACAAUGUAUGUGUAGAUGUGUCAUAGUGCAGAACCUGUGGAAAAAACAGUCCAUCUUUAUAUGAUAGAAGUUGUCUGUAGCGUUGUCCAUUAGGAGAUAUGACGACCAUAUUGUGAGUAAAAAUCCCUUCUACAAACACGUGACCAUCAUUGUCAACAUAGAUACCGAGUGGUAAUUCAAAACACUAUCAUCACAGAACAUCCACAGUAUGUUACCAUGGUAAUCACAACAAGUCACUGUUUGUGUAGAACAGUUUGUCAUGGAAUGUUGUAACGUACGGAAAGGUCUUAAGUUUGUUAUUGAUUCUAAGACUUAUCAUUUGUAAUCACCAAUAAAUAACAUAUCAAACGUGC
rnacentral:lncRNA from 1 species